rnacentral:rRNA from 1 species
AUUGAACGCUGGCGGCAUGCCUUACACAUGCAAGUCGAACGGUAACAGGUCUUCGGAUGCUGACGAGUGGCGAACGGGUGAGUAAUACAUCGGAACGUGCCUAGUAGUGGGGGAUAACUACUCGAAAGAGUGGCUAAUACCGCAUGAGAUCUACGGAUGAAAGCAGGGGAUCGCAAGACCUUGUGCUACUAGAGCGGCCGAUGGCAGAUUAGGUAGUUGGUGGGAUAAAAGCUUACCAAGCCGACGAUCUGUAGCUGGUCUGAGAGGACGAUCAGCCACACUGGGACUGAGACACGGCCCAGACUCCUACGGGAGGCAGCAGUGGGGAAUUUUGGACGAUGGGCGCAAGCCUGAUCCAGCAAUGCCGCGUGCAGGAUGAAGGCCUUCGGGUUGUAGACUGCUUUUGUACGGAACGAAAAGCCCUGGGUUAAUACCCUGGGGUCAUGACGGUACCGUAAGAAUAAGCACCGGCUAACUACGUGCCAGCCGCCGCCGCGG